GUUGUGAAUGUUAAUCUCUAAAAGAUCUUAGGGUGAAAAAAAAACUUCAGUUUAGUCAGAAUUAACUUUUGGUGGCAUAGCAUAUGUUUAAUUCUGCAUUUAAUACUAUAUUGUGUUAUUUUGUGGCAUGAUACUGAUUCGAAUUCACAAUAUUCAGUGAUAUGUGUUUAACUUGUAAUUCUGGUGAUCAGCAAGUAUCAAAACUUUUUUUCUAAUUUAGUGAGGCAUCUUUUGUUGUAUGUUUUCUCGAAUUGUUAGUGUGCAAAAAUACAGAGCUAAUGUUAUAUAAUUUAUAAUUUUGUUUUACAGUUUAUAAGAUUUAAAUUACUGAUAAUAUAUGAUGUUUUUUAUUAUUAUUUUACUGAUGUUUUUUGGGCUGUGAAUGUUUUUAGUGCUUUCAGUGCUAAUGAUAUUUUUUCAAUACACAAUAAUAAUAAUUGUUUGAUUUUUCAAAUCUAAGUCGUCUAAUGAUGGUUUGGUUAUUAAUUGAAAAUAUUUUGAUCUAAAAUAUAACCCUUUAAAUAAAAAAAAAUAAAAAAUUUAAUAAAUUAAUUAUUAUAUAGAUAUUAAAGUUAGAUAAA
rnacentral:lncRNA from 1 species